rnacentral:misc_RNA from 1 species
ACAAACUUGGUCAUUUAGAGGAAGUAAAAGUCGUAACAAGGUCUCCGUAGGUGAACCUGCGGAGGGAUCAUUACAGUAGUUGUCUCGAACAACGAAAAAACCUUUGUGAACCUUACCACCGUUGCCUCGGCCGGUGCGUGCCCGGAGGUCGUCUAGGCGCGGAGCUCGCAGCCUACCCGUUAGCGCGAGUUCCCAGCCUACCCUGUAGGUAACCUGGACUUGACCUACCCGGCACCCGGCCGGUGGACCAUCCUAAACUCUUGAAUCUACGAGAUUUCUGAAGUCAUAAUACAAACAAGUUAAAACUUUCAACAACGGAUCUCUUGGUUCUGGCAUCGAUGAAGAACGCAGC